rnacentral:misc_RNA from 1 species
AUCAGGUCAUAAAUGCGGUCGCCUGUAGAAGAAAUAAAUCAAUCUGAUUAAAGUGACAAUGUCGUAUUUCAAAAGGUGAAAGUGCAUCAUUCCUAUUUUUUUCUACUUUUUAACAUGAAGAGCACAUAAAGACAUUAGGUGCAACUCAAAACUUGAUGGUUUGAAGUUGAAGUCCCUGGAAGAUCAAUUAAUGCAAGAUAUUCUCCGCAGCAAAGGUAAAAUAGAUAGUUUAGAAUUCAAAAAGUUCAGGGAUAUAAGAUUAUAUAGCAUUGUGAUACGGAGAUUUUACACAUAUUUCAGAAAAUAGAUAUUAUAGAACAUAUUGAAUAGAACCCGAAAUACUGCAGAUAACAUUUCAGGAUGGAAUGGUAACCAAUAAGUGAGAAAGCACUCACCAACAGAAAGAUCACUAAAAUCAAGAAUGUAGCUGGGACUCCAUGACUUAUCAUCUCUAACAUCUUUGUAGCCAUUCGAGUCACUAUCCAUCAGACAAGCAUCUGCAUUGUUUCCACUCAAGCAAUAGCUAACACAAUUUGGUUCCAUGUGAACAUUGUCAUCCAUAA